CAAUCAAGAUGUAUUUGCUCAUGACCUAAAGUACGUGUACAAGACUGAAAAGCACAUGCACGCAAUGAAUGCAUACCAACGCAGUCUUGCAGGUGUUCACGUGGUUUUGCACAUGUGCCAGGUGAAAUUUCAAUUGCACCACUGACACUCUAAAAACUCGGGUAAAUAAUACUUUCCUGUGGAUAUUUUGUUUCAAAUGUUGCCCAGCUGAAAUACCAACCGGUACAUUCAAAUGAAAUGUUAUUCAACAUUCUGGCAGAGUUUUGUUUGACUUUAACAAUAAUUUGUAUCAUAGUCUGUCUGAUUAGGCAACCUCCCCCUAUCUGUCAGUCAGUUGCAGACGCGCUGCCUCCCCCUCAUGUUGCCGACUGACUGGAAAUAGAAACAUAAAUAUACACACCGAUAACUAACAACUUAACGCAGCCGGUCACUGAGGGGCAUGAGAGCCUUGUUGGAGGCCAGCGCUUUUGCUUGCCGGACCCAGUGCUGGUGACGGGGACAUGGGCCUCUUCCUCAGGGCUUCCAGCACGACCCAGCUCCACACAAGCCAGAGCCUCAGCCACCAACUGGUCCAGCACCACCCAGACACCAACGGCAGCAGCACGCAGAGGGACCCCGCCUCAGUGGGUCUCGCCCUUCUCUUCGGCGCUACCACUGACCUGCAGGCCAAGCACCGCAGCCGGUCUCGAGCUCUUGGUAGACGAAGCUCCAAGUAGCCUUCUCUAAUGAGGAUGUCUGAUACUGUCACUGUAAAGGAGACUAGCGCCACUAUGAGAGGUGUGGAGACGGAGGAGAGCCACCAUGCCAGUGCCACACCGACACCAGCGGGGGGAGAAGAACCAAGCCCGACCAAGACAAACGGCAGGGAGCAGGCAGAGACCCCGCCACAGGCCAAAGCUCAAACCCAGCUCCAACCCGAGAUUCAACCAGAGAGCUGCUGCCAAGACAAGAACGAAACUCUGGAUGAAGUUGAGAUCCAGGUCUCCCAGUCAUUUGACAAAGAGGAGGUGCCACCCAUCAAGGAUGAGGAGGACAAAGGUGUGGAGAAGCUGCUAGAGAAGACUGAGAGGAUGCCCAGGAAGAUGCUGUCCAGAGAUUCCAGUCAGGAGUACACAGAUUCUACCGGGAUCGAUAUCCAUGAAUUCUUAGUAAACACAUUGAAAAACAACCCCAGGGACAGAAUGAUGCUGCUGAAGUUGGAACAGGACAUUCUCGACUUUAUCAGUAAUAACGAAAGCCAGAAGAGAAAGUUCCCUCCAAUGACCUCCUACCACAGAAUGCUGCUGCACCGCGUCGCCGCCUACUUCGGCCUAGACCACAACGUCGACCAAACCGGGAAAUCUGUAAUCAUCAACAAAACUAGCAAUACAAGAAUCCCUGAUCAAAAGUUUUCAGAACACAUCAAAGACGACAAAACUGACGACUUCCAAAAGCGCUACAUUCUCAAAAGGGACAACUCCGGCUCAGACAAAGAUGACAACAUGAUGCGAAUGCGGCUGAAGGACGACCGGAGGAGUAAGUCUAUAGAGGAACGAGAGGAGGAGUACCAGAGGGCCAGAGACAGGAUAUUUGCUCAAGAUAGCUUAUUUUAUUCCAGGGAGGAUGAUGCUUGUAACAGUACACAGCAAAGGCGGCAAAUGUUUAGGUUAAAAGAUGGCCACCCGGCCAACAGUCGCCAGAGCAGCUCUGAGAACGAACCCAAGUACUCUGACCCUCGGCCGUGGAGCAGCACAGACUCUGACAGCUCCAACCGUAACCUGAGGCCAGCCAUGACCAAGGCCAGCAGCUUCAGCGGCAUCUCUGUCCUCAUCAGGGGAGACAGUUCGGGCAGCAGCAAGAGCAUGGGUCGCCUCUCUAAGACUGGUUCACUAGAGUCUUCUAGUAGUGUAGGGUCCUCCACGGGUUCGCUCUCUCGCUCCCAGCUGCCCCUCACCGUCCCAGCUCUAACCCAGGCUGGCCACCCUCACAACCACGCCGUGCCCCCCUGCCCAGUGGCUUACCCAGCCACCUGCACUAGUAGUACUGUGACUUAUGAGGCGGGAGGCAGGAGCGGCCCGGUGCCGCCACCACCAGCAAAUACAGCUAACACUAGCUACUAUUUGCUUCCCCUGGAAGCCAUAGGGAUACCGCCAGGGAGUAUCCUGGUCAACCCACACACAGGUUGGUACCCUCUAACCCUACCAUCGGACCAGUCUGUUCUAUCCCUUCCUCAGCCGGUCCGGCCCCUCCAGCCUUCUGCUCAGCCUGUCCAGUACUCAUCUGUCUCUUACCCACCUCAGCUGCUCUCCGUCUCCCCUAACCAACAAUACACUGUGCAAAACAACCUGGGAGCCCAGUUCAGCCACAUGAGCUUGGCCCGGCAGGUCUCUGGAGAGGGCCCAGGUCGGGACACCCACAUUGCCAUGUACCCCUCCUCCGUCGUGCUUCAGACCCCCCCUCAGCAGCAGGGCUACAUGGUGGCCCCUCCAGUCCAGCACGUCCCGGCACCCCAGGCCUACAACAACCCCGCCCCUCCACCUGUCAACCAGCCGGUCAUGCAGCAACAGGGCUACAUGCAGCAGCAGAUGCCAGCAUGUUACUGUGCGCCAGGCCAGUACCCCCUGUCCAACCAGCAGUACAGGCCUGUGGGCACAGUGCAGUUCAGCGCCCCACAGAGUCAGCCAAUGCCCCCGCCCACACAACAGACAGGUUACCAAACUGUGAUGCCAAAUCAGCCACAGAGCUAUCAGAGUAUGAUUGGAGUGCCACAUAGUCAGAACACUGUCAGUGGCCUGCAUAGCAAUAUGGGAAAUCAGAUGCAAGGCAUGAUGGUCCAGUAUCCCUCCAUGCCAUCUUAUCAGGUAUCCAUGCAGCCCCAAGGCUCACAGGGUGUGCCACAGCAGACAUAUCAGCAGCCUAUCAUCAACCACAACCAGUCCAACCAGGGGCCCAUGCCUGGUUCUGGUGUCCAGAUCUACUACAGUGUUAUCACACCCAAUCAACAGAACACCAUGAGCUCCUCUGUUGGGUUCUUGCCUCCUCCUGGAUCAGAGCAGAUGCAGUUCCCUCGGCCGUCCUCCCCCUGCAGCUCCCAGCAGCCCCUCCAUCAGGCACAGCAGUGCUCAGGUGUUCCCCCUCCCCCAGGCGGUGGGAUGGUGAUGAUGCAGCUGACGUUGCCCCCCGGCCAGCAACCACGGCCUCACUCGCCCCCCCAGUGGAAACACAGCAAGUACUACAGUCUGGACCACACGAGACGACAAAAGUCCACAGAGCUCUCCACCCUAGACACCUCACAGAGCAUUCCCCAGCUGGGCAGUCCCUCAACUUCCCCCGCCCAGUCGCCAACUCCCUCCCACCCACACCACCUAACCAAUGUGAAGAGCAUCCGUCCAGGCCUCGCCCCCGUACCCAUGAUGCCCCAGUUCUCCAGACCCUUUAUGCCAGGGCAAGGAGAUGCGCGGUACCCGUUACUAGGGCAGCCCCUCCAGUACAACCCCCAGAUCCGUCCUCCUCUCCACGCUCCACCCAUGUUUUUCUCUUGCUCCCCCCCUCUCGCUGCUCUGUCUCUCGCUGCUCUGUCUGUGACAGUGAGUGGGCAAGUCCUGGAGGUGACUGACCUGCCGGGAGAGAUCAGCAGGACCGAGGCGGACUCUCUGCUAGGUGAGCUCUCCAGAGCCCGGCCUCCGAGAUUGGCAGUCGGGGGGCUAACGGUGUCCCCCACCCAAACCCACGGUCAAGCCCCUGCUGACCCAGCCUUCGUCUACACCAUCCUGGCCAUGUUCCCUUCCGGAUACACUGCGCAGGACGCCCUCCUCCACCACAAUGGCCCCCAAGCCUCCUUCAGACUCACUGUGAGCAGGGGCCACAGACACCCCCUGGAGAGGGCCAGCUCCCAGUAG
ensembl:lncRNA